AUUGAACGCUGGCGGCAGGCCUAACACAUGCAAGUCGAGCGAGCGGCGGACGGGUGAGUAAUGUAUGGGGACUGCCCGAUAGAGGGGGAUAACUUCUGGAAACGGUAGCUAAUAACGCAUAUUACCGCAUAACCCAUAUUGGAUUAGUUAGUAGGUGAGGUAAUGGCUUACCUAGGCGACGAUCCCUAGCUGGUCUGCGAGGAUGAUCAGCCACACUGGGACUGAGACACGGCCCAGACUCCUACGGAGGCAGCAGUGGGGAAUAUUGCACAAUGGGCGCAAGCCUGAUGCAGCCAUGCCGCGUGUAUGAAGAAGGCCCUAGGGUUGUAAAGUACUUUCAGUCGGGAGGCGUUACCGGCAGAAGAAGCACCGGCUAACUCCGUGCCAGCAGCCGCGGUAAUAC
rnacentral:rRNA from 1 species